ACUAGCUUAAGGGUUUAUCUACACUACAGGGGCUGUAGCCAUAUAGCUGCAGUGCUGUUGCAACCUCAUAAUAUAGAGGCAGUCUACAGAGACAGAAGGGUUUUUUCCAUGGCUAUAGGUAAACCAACUCCCUAAGCAAUGGUAGAUCAGUUAACAGAAGCAUUCUUGAUUCUUCCAUCAUCCUAGCUGUGUCUAUACCGGGGCUUAGGUUGACAUAGCUACGGUGCUCAGAGGUACAGACCAGGCCUAUUGUGUCAUGUCCCUUUCCAGUGGCUUAACCACUUAGGGGGAGAUUUUCAUAGGUGCAAAUUGCAGUUAGGCACCUAACAUCCAUGUCUUUGAAAAUUUAGCUGAUUGAGGAUAAAAACCUACUAUUGCUUCCAGCUAACAGAGUUGCUCCUUCAGCUCAACUGGUACAAGCCUGCAUUGUGGAGGGAUCAUGUUGUGUAGCUUUUCUCCCCAACAACGGAAGAUAGGAUCUGACUUUGUUUUUAAAUGGAAGCUGAGUCUCACGUAAACACCUGACUCCAGGAGCUGAGGAUUUUAAAAAGCACCAAAUAUCACAAAACAAUAAAAUUAUGCAGCCAACAUUGUAUCAAUUACAAAUCUGAAAAACAGCAGUGCCUCCACCUUAGUAUUCAGGUUUGAAUCUCAAGGCAAAAACUAUCCAGGAUUUGAAUUUCAAGGUAAAAGCUAUCCAGGAAGAAGCAGUCUGUGUGAAGAUGCAAGGAAGUGAGAGAGCUGUGUCAAAAGUUGAAAACAAACCUAACAAAUUCAGCUCAGCUUGCAAGGUUGUAGUGUAAAGCUUUUCACUGAAGACACAAAAUGAGGACGUAAAACCAAAAAUGCAUUCUCACGCUCCCCCUGCCCCAUCCUUCCAUCAGCACAACAGCUUUAGCAAAAAAUAAUAUUUGUCAAAUCUAAUCAGCAGCAUCAAGACAUAUUAAAU